rnacentral:lncRNA from 12 species
ACCCGAUGCUACUCUGCCUAACUACCAGAAUAGAAGAAGGUCAGGGAAAGACCAGAAGUAUCAGAAAAUACUGGGAAGACCACACUUAUAUAUAAGAAUAUCACCUCUCAAGUGAACAUCUAAUUAACACUGGAGAUUCAGUAUGUGAUUUGUAAUCCUCUCAACACGGCAAAAUCAAUAUACUAUUUCCAUUUUACAGAUGGGAAACCCAAGGCCCAGUGAAACCUGAGAAAACCUGUGGAAAUUUUGCUGGCAGACUUCCUCUUCUUCUGAUUCUCCCACUCCCCCCAAUCCAGGAAGAUUUUGGGAAUCACAGCAAAUUGCUGAACCGAAGUGACCUUAGGGAGGCAAGCAACUGUGACAAGCUCUGAAGAAGCCUGCCGGGGCAUGAAGAUCCAUUGACAAAUGCAGAGGCUACUGUGGGCUAUGGGGCUCUUCUGCAUGCGUUAUGCCAUUUGAU